UUGAGGUUGUGGCAAUUGUUAAACUUGAGAAUCGGGUGUGGUUGAACUUGAGUUUGUGGUGUUCAUUGAACUUGAGUUUGUGGAAUAUUUGAACUUGAGUUUAUUAUGUUUUUUGAACUUGAGGUUCUGGUGUUUUUGAACUUGAGUUUGUGUGUUUUUUGAACUUGAGGUUGUGGAAAUUGUUAAACUUGAGAAUUGGGUGUUGCUUGAACUUGACUUGUUGUGUUUGUUGAACUUGAGUUUGUGUCGUUUUAGAACUUCAGUUUGUGUGGUGUUUUUGAAGUUGAGUUUGUGGCGUUUGUUGAACUUGAGUUUGUGGCGUGUUUGAACUUGAGUUUGUGUUGUUUUUUGAACUUGAGGUUGUGGAAAUUGUUAAACCUGAGAAUCGGGUGUUGGUUGAACUUGAAACUGUGACAUUUGUUGAACUUGAGUUUGUGGUGUUUGUUGAACUUGAGUUUGUAUCGUGUUUGAAUUUGAGUUUGUGGUGUUUUAGAACUUCAUUUUGUGGCACUUUUUUAACUUGAGUUUGUUGAACUUGAGUUUUUGGCAAUUGUUUAAUGUGAAUAUAGGUCAUUUGUUGAAUUUGAAAUUUUGUCAUUUUUUUAACUUAAGCUUGUGGUGUUUGAUGAACUUGAGUUUGUGGCAAUUGUUAACCUUGAGUCUGUAUUUUUCUCUGAACUUUACUUGGUGGCAAUUGUUGAACUUGAGUUUGUGGUGUUUGUUGUACUUGAGUUUGUGGCGUGUUUGAACUUGAGUUUCUGUUGGUUUUGAACUUGAGGUUGUGGAAAUUGUUAAACUUGAGAUUUGGGAUUUGGUUGAACCUGAGUUUGUGAAUCGUGUUUGAACUUGAGUUUGUGGUGUUUUUGAUCUUAAGCUUUUGUGUUUUUUGAACUGAAGUUUGUGGCAAUUGUUAAACUUGUGACUUAGGUGUUGGUUGAACUUGAGUUUGUGGUGUUUUUGAACUUGACUUUGUGAAGUGUUUGAACUAGAUUUUCUGGUUAUUUUUUAACUUGAGUCUGUGUGUUUUUCUAACUUGAGGUUGUGGAAAUUGUUAAACUUGCGAAGUGGGCAUUGGUUGAACUUGAGUUCGUGGUGUUUGUUGAACUGGAGUUUUUGUCAUUUAGAACUUGAGUUUGUGGUGUUUUUGAACUUGAGUUUUUGGCGUUUGUUGAACUUAAGUUUUUGUCGUUUUGAACUUGAGUUUGUGGUGUUUUUGAACUUGAGGUUUUGGCAGAUGUUAAACUUGAUAUUUGGGUGUUGUUUGAACUUGAGUUUGUGUCGUGUUUGAACUUGAGUUUGUGUCGUGUUUGAACUUGAGUUUGUGUCGUGUUUGGACUUGAGGUUGUGGAAAUUGUUAAACGUGAGAAUUGGGUAUUGGUUAAACUUGAGUUUGUGUGUUUGUUGAACCUGAGUUUGUGUCGUGUUUGAACUUGAGAUUUUGCUGUUUUGUGAUCUUGAAUUUCUGUGUUUUUUUUUUAACUUGAGUUUUUGGUGUUUUUGAAUUUGAGUUUCUGUUGUUUUUGAACAUGAGGUUGUGGCAAUUUGUUAAACUUGAGAUUUGGGUGUUGUUUGAACUUGAGUUUGUGUCGUGUUUGAACUUGAGUUUUUGUCGUGUUUGAACUUGAGUUUGUGUCGUGUUUGAACUUGAGUUUGUGUCAUGUUUGAACUUGAGUGUUGUGUUUGAACUUGAGUUUGUUGCAAUUUUUGAACUUGAGUUUUUAACUUGAGUCUGGUUUUUAGUGAACUUUAUUUGGUGGCAAUUGUUAAACUUGAGUUUGUGUGUUUGUUGAACCUGAGUUUGUGUCGUGUUUGAACUUGAGAUUUUGCUGUUUUGUGAUCUUGAAUUUGUGUGGGUUUUUUUUAACUUGAGUUUUUGGUGUUUUUGAAUUUGAGUUUCUGUUGUUUUUGAACAUGAGGUUGUGGCAAUUUGUUAAACUUGAGAUUUGGGUGUCGGUUGAAAUUAAGUUUCGGCAUUUUUGAACUUGAGUUUGUGGUGUUUUUGAACUUGAAUUUGUGUGUUUUUUGAACCUGAGUUUGUUGAACUUGAGUUUUUGGCAAUUCUUUAAUGUUAAUAUAGGUUAUUUGUUGAAUUUGAAAUUUUGGCAUUUUUUGAACUUAAGCUUGUGGUGUUUGUUGAACUUGAGUUUGUGGCAAUUGUUAACAUUGAGUCUGUAUUUUUCUCUGAACAUUAGUUGGUGGCAAUUGUUGAACUUGAGUUCGUGUGUUUGUUGAACUUGAGUUUUUGUCGUUUAGAACUUGAGUUUGUGGUGUUUUUGAACUUGAGGUUUUGGCAAAUGUUAAACUUGAUAUUUGGGUGUUGUUUGAACUUGAGUUUGUGCCGUGUUUGAACUUGAGUUUGUGUCGUGUUUGAACUUGAGUUUGUGUCGUGUUUGAACUUGAGUUUGUGUCAUGUUUGAACUUGAGUGUUGUGUUUGAACUUGAGUUUGUUGCAAUUUUUGAACUUGAGUUUUGAACUUGAGUCUUUGGUUUUUAGUGAACUUUAUUUGGUGGCAAUUGUUAAACUUGAGUUUGUCGCGUGUUUGAACUUGAGUUUGUGUUGUUUUUUAACUUGAGGUUUUGGCAAUUGUUAAUCUUUAGAUUUGGGUGUUGGUUGAACUUAAAACUUUGACAUUUGUUGAACUUGACUUUGUGGUGUUCAUUUAACUUGAGUUUGUGGUGUUUUUGAACUUGAAUUUUUGUGUUUUUUUGAACUUGUGUUUGUGGUAUUUUUGAACUUGAAUUUGUGUGUUUUUUGAACUUGAGGUUGUUGCAAUUUUUGAACUUGAGUUUGUUGAACUUGAGUUUUUGGCAAUUCUUUAAUGUUAAUAUAGGUUAUUUGUUGAAUUUGAAAUUUUGGCAUUUUUUGAACUUAAGCUUGUGGUGUUUGUUGAACUUGAGUUUGUGGCAAUUGUUAACAUUGAGUCUGUAUUUUUCUCUGAACAUUAGUUGGUGGCAAUUGUUGAACUUGAGUUCGUGUGUUUGUUGAACUUGAGUUUUUGUCGUUUAGAACUUGAGUUUGUGGUGUUUUUGAACUUGAGGUUUUGGCAAAUGUUAAACUUGAUAUUUGGGUGUUGUUUGAACUUGAGUUUGUGUCGUGUUUGAACUUGAGUUUGUGUCGUGUUUGAACUUGAGUUUGUGUCAUGUUUGAACUUGAGUGUUGUGUUUGAACUUGAGUUUGUUGCAAUUUUUGAACUUGAGUUUUUAACUUGAGUCUUUGGUUUUUAGUGAACUUUAUUUGGUGGCAAUUGUUAAACUUGAGUUUGUGUGUUUGUUGAACCUGAGUUUGUGUCGUGUUUGAACUUGAGAUUUUGCUGUUUUGUGAUCUUGAAUUUGUGUGGGGUUUUUUUAACUUGAGUUUUUGGUGUUUUUGAAUUUGAGUUUCUGUUGUUUUUGAACAUGAGGUUGUGGCAAUUUGUUAAACUUGAGAUUUGGGUGUCGGUUGAAAUUAAGUUUCGGCAGUUUUGAACUUGAGUUUGUGGUGUUUUUGAACUUGAAUUUGUGUGUUUUUUGAACCUGAGUUUGUUGAACUUGAGUUUUUGGCAAUUCUUUAAUGUUAAUAUAGGUUAUUUGUUGAAUUUGAAAUUUUGGCAUUUUUUGAACUUAAGCUUGUGGUGUUUGUUGAACUUGAGUUUGUGGCAAUUGUUAACAUUGAGUCUGUAUUUUUCUCUGAACAUUAGUUGGUGGCAAUUGUUGAACUUGAGUUCGUGUGUUUGUUGAACUUGAGUUUUUGUCGUUUAGAACUUGAGUUUGUGGUGUUUUUGAACUUGAGGUUUUGGCAAAUGUUAAACUUGAUAUUUGGGUGUUGUUUGAACUUGAGUUUGUGCCGUGUUUGAACUUGAGUUUGUGUCGUGUUUGAACUUGAGUUUGUAUCGUGUUUGAACUUGAGUUUGUGUCAUGUUUGAACUUGAGUGUUGUGUUUGAACUUGAGUUUGUUGCAAUUUUUGAACUUGAGUUUUGAACUUGAGUCUUUGGUUUUUAGUGAACUUUAUUUGGUGGCAAUUGUUAAACUUGAGUUUGUCGCGUGUUUGAACUUGAGUUUGUGUUGUUUUUUAACUUGAGGUUUUGGCAAUUGUUAAUCUUUAGAUUUGGGUGUUGGUUGAACUUAAAACUUUGACAUUUGUUGAACUUGACUUUGUGGUGUUCAUUUAACUUGAGUUUGUGGUGUUUUUGAACUUGACUUUGUGGUGUUCAUUUAACUUGAGUUUGUGGUGUUUUUGAACUUGAAUUUGUGUGUUUUUUGAACUUGAGGUUGUUGCAAUUUUUGAACUUGAGUUUGUUGAACUUGAGUUUUUGGCAAUUGUUAAAUGUGAGUUUAGGUCAUUUGUUGAAUUUGAAAUUUUGGCAUUUUUUGAACUUAAGAUUGUGGUGUUUGUUGAACUUGAGUUUGUGUCAAUUGUUGAACUUGAGUCUGUAUUUUUCUCUGAACUUUAGUUUGAAUUUUUGUGUGUUUUUUGAAUUUAAGUUUGUGGCAAUUGUUAAACUUGAGAUUUGGGUUUUGGUUGAACUUGAGUUUGUGGUGUUUUUGAACUUGAGUUUGUGUGUUUGUUUAACUUGAGUUUGUGGCAUGUUUUGACUUGAGUUUGUGUGUUUGUUUAACUUGAGUUUGUGGCGUGUUUUGACUUGAGUUUCUGUUGUUUUUGAACUUGAGGUUGUGGCAAUUGUCAAACUUGAGAUUUGGGAUUUGCUUGAACUUGAGUUUGUGUCGUGUUUGAACUUUGGUUUGUGGUGCUUUUUAACUUGAGUUUGUGGCGGUCUUGAGCUUGAGUUUGUGGCGUGUUUUAACCUGAAUUUUUGUUGUUUUUCUUACUUGAGGCUUCGGCAAUUGUUAAACUUUAGAUUUGGGUGUUGGUUGAACUUGAGUUUGUGGUGUUUUUGAACUUGAGUUUGUGGCGUGUUUGAACUUGAGUUUCUGUUGGUUUUGAACUUGAGGUUGUGGAAAUUGUUAAACUUGAGAUUUGGGAUUUGGUUGAACCUGAGUUUGUGAAUCGUGUUUGAACUUGAGUUUGUGGUGUUUUUGAUCUUAAGCUUUUGUGUUUUUUGAACUGAAGUUUGUGGCAAUUGUUAAACUUGUGACUUAGGUGUUGGUUGAACUUGAGUUUGUGGUGUUUUUGAACUUGACUUUGUGAAGUGUUUGAACUAGAUUUUCUGGUUAUUUUUUAACUUGAGUCUGUGUGUUUUUCUAACUUGAGGUUGUGGAAAUUGUUAAACUUGCGAAGUGGGCAUUGGUUGAACUUGAGUUCGUGGUGUUUGUUGAACUGGAGUUUUUGUCAUUUAGAACUUGAGUUUGUGGUGUUUUUGAACUUGAGUUUUUGGCGUUUGUUGAACUUAAGUUUUUGUCGUUUUGAACUUGAGUUUGUGGUGUUUUUGAACUUGAGGUUUUGGCAGAUGUUAAACUUGAUAUUUGGGUGUUGUUUGAACUUGAGUUUGUGUCGUGUUUGAACUUGAGUUUGUGUCGUGUUUGAACUUGAGUUUGUGUCGUGUUUGGACUUGAGGUUGUGGAAAUUGUUAAACGUGAGAAUUGGGUAUUGGUUAAAC
rnacentral:lncRNA from 1 species